AUUGAACGCUGGCGGCAUGCCUUACACAUGCAAGUCGAGCGGUUUAAGGCGGUAAGGUGCUGCGGAGGGGUGAACGGGGGGGUAAUGCCUUGCACUGUGCACACUGAUGGGGGACAACAAGUUGUAAGAGUAGGUAAUACCGCGCUCUGUUCACGGGUGAAAACUGGGAAAGGUAUGGCGUCACAGGAUUGGCGCGGGUCUGAUUAGAUAGUUGGUGAGGUAACGGCUCACCAAGGCGACGAACAGUAGCCGACCUGAGAGGGUGAUCGGCCACAUUGGAACUGAGACACGGUCCAAACUCCUACGGGAGGCAGCAGUGGGGAAUAUUGCACAAUGGGCGAAAGCCUGAUGCAGCAACGCCGCGUGAGCGAUGAAGGCCUUCGGGUCGUAAAGCUCUGUCCUCAAGGAAGAUAAUGACGGUACUUGAGGAGGAAGCCCCGGCUAACUACGUG
rnacentral:rRNA from 1 species